ACUGGCUUGACUGCUCGUAUGUUGAGUUGAGGGAGACUACAUAGGCUAAGGUGGGAGGGUGAUUCUGCAAGUUUGGCAGCUUGAAGAGGAACUUUUUUUGCACAAGAAAAGAGAGCCUGGCGGGGUGAAUUUCAUCAGAAAGUUAUACAAGUACAAGCAAACAAUUCGUUCACAAUCUGAAGGCAAUAUCAAAUGAGUAUUUUGCUUCACUCAAGAUGCAAAUAAUUGCUUCUCUAAUGAAAUACCUUAUGUUUGUCAGCAAGGAUACAAGCUGGAUAAAUAGUACUUCAUGUGGUAUUCCAGAAAAGAAACGCAUUAGGGCCAACUCCUCAUCAACAGCAUAUUUUCAACCAUAUAUUUUUAUAAUAGACUGUAUAAAACGACUUAGACUUAGAUUCAAAGAAUUAGUUAUGUAACUUCACAGUAUUACAUGUACUAAGAUGUUUGAGCUCAAGUGUUGAUCUCUGUAAUUCAAUAAUUGUGAGAAUAAACGUACAAAUUUUACUUCGUCUUCAGUGGCGUAAUCAAUAAAUUAUAAAGUGUGUGUACCCCCGUGCUGACUGCAUAACUGCUUGGCGCUGUCUAGGCUUGGAAAUGGAAGCGAUGAGAUGACGAACGGUAGCAUUAGGAAUGGCUUUCACGCUUGUGCCAGAGCUUGGGAAUUCAUCUAGAGGCACAGAAUAGAAUUCUGUGUCUAGAGGCGACCUCUGGCACGCAUUUGGUUCAGAUCAGUGUGUCCAUCUGGGCAAAAUCCGAUGGACCUGUACUUAGUUAACCGUGUCAAAAGACAAAGGGCUGAACCGUGUAGACGGCUCCUUCAAAGGAAAUGUAUUUAGGUCAGGCUUGACGGAAUUAAUUGGACAACUAUACACAUGGCGCGACACAACAGUGAGACGCAGUCAAGUGAAAAACACAACUUAAAGGUCAUCACCCAUUCGCCGACAAGACAUAAUAGUGUACUUUAAUAAUGCCAGGACAUCUGAUUUUCUUUCAUCAGCCGAAAGAUAAUUAAUCAAAGGCCAUUUAUAAUGUACUGAAAUCUUGUUGAGUACAUGCGAACUUUGCCGUAGGCCUAUCCUUUUUUAUAGUGCAUAUUAUGUACUUAUGUUUUCUGAGAGUGUUACAACAAUGUAAAUAAAUUAUACAUGUGUUAUAAAUACUAUUAA